GUGCAGCAGGCGAGAAACCUUCGCAAUGCAGGAAACUGCGACGAGGGAACUCCAAGUGCCUACGCUCAGCGUAGGCUGUUCUCAAGCCUAGAAAGCUUGAGGAGUAAGGGCUGGGUAAGACGGGUGCCAUCUGUGGUAGCAGUCAAUAGAUUCGAUUUGUUACUGCAAGGCAUAAGCCGCCGCGGUAAUACCCCGCAGCCCAAGUGGUGGCCGCUUUUAUGGGCCUAAAGCGUCCGUAGCCGGCCCGGUAAAUGCCUGGGGUAAAUCGUGGAGCCCCAACUUCACGAAUUCCGGGUAGACUGCCGAGCUCGGGGACCGGAAGAGGGAGAGGGGUACUUCAGGGGGUAGGGUGAAAAUUUCCUUUCCAUUUAACGCUUUUGCGCGAAGCGG
rnacentral:rRNA from 1 species